GAUGAACGCUGGCGGCGUGCCUAAUACAUGCAAGUCGAGCGAACAGAUGAGGAGCUUGCUCCUCUGACGUUAGCGGCGGACGGGUGAGUAACACGUGGAUAACCUCCCUAUAAGACUGGGAUAACUUCGGGAAACCGGAGCUAAUACCGGAUAAUAUAUUGAACCGCAUGGUUCAAUAGUGAAAGACGGUUUUGCUGUCACUUAUAGAUGGAUCCGCGCCGCUUUAGCAAGUUGGUAAGGUAACGGCUUACCAAGGCAACGAUGCGUAACCGACCUGAGAGGGUGAUCGGCCACACUGGAACUGAGCCACGGUCCAGACUCCUACGGGAGGCCGCAGUAGGGAAUCUUCCGCAAUGGGCGAAAGCCUGACGGAGCAACGCCGCGUGAGUGAUGAAGGUCUUGGGAUCGUAAAACUCUGUUAUUAGGGAAGAACAAAUGUGUAAGGAACUGUGCACGUCUUGACGGUACCUAAUCAGAAAGCCACGGCUAACUACGUG
rnacentral:rRNA from 1 species